UGGUGGAGCGAUUUGUCUGGUCAAUUCCGAUAACGAACGAGACUCUAGCCUACUAAAUAGUUCGGGGACCCCCACAAAGGGGCCCCGCUUCAACUUCUUAGAGGGACAAUGUGUGUUUAACGCAUGGAAUUUUGAGGCAAUAACA
rnacentral:rRNA from 1 species